AUGAAGGACGUGCUAAUCUGCGAUAAGCGUCGGUAAGGUGAUAUGAACCGUUAUAACCGGCGAUUUCCGAAUGGGGAAACCCAGUGUGUUUCGACACACUAUCAUUACGUGAAUACAUAGCGUAAUGAAGCGAACCGGGGGAACUGAAACAUCUAAGUACCCCGAGGAAAAGAAAUCAACCGAGAUUCCCCCAGUAGCGGCGAGCGAACGGGGAGCAGCCCAGAGUCUGAAUCAGCUUGUGUGUUAGUGGAACGGUCUGGAAAGUCCGACGGUACAGGGUGAUAGUCCCGUACACCAAAAUGCACAGGUUGUGAACUCGAAGAGUAGGGCGGGACACGUGGUAUCCUGUCUGAAUAUGGGGGGACCAUCCUCCAAGGCUAAAUACUCCUGACUGACCGAUAGUGAACCAGUACCGUGAGGGAAAGGCGAAAAGAACCCCGGCGAGGGGAGUGAAAAAGAACCUGAAACCGUGUACGUACAAGCAGUGGGAGCCUCUUUAUGGGGUGACUGCGUACCUUUUGUAUAAUGGGUCAGCGACUUAUAUUCUGUAGCAAGGUUAACCGUAUAGGGGAGCCGAAGGGAAACCGAGUCUUAACUGGGCGUUAAGUUGCAGGGUAUAGACCCGAAACCCGGUGAUCUAGCCAUGGGCAGGUUGAAGGUUGGGUAACACUAACUGGAGGACCGAACCGACUAAUGUUGAAAAAUUAGCGGAUGACUUGUGGCUGGGGGUGAAAGGCCAAUCAAACCGGGAGAUAGCUGGUUCUCCCCGAAAGCUAUUUAGGUAGCGCCUCGUGAAUUCAUCUUCGGGGGUAGAGCACUGUUUCGGCUAGGGGGUCAUCCCGACUUACCAACCCGAUGCAAACUGCGAAUACCGAAGAAUGUUAUCACGGGAGACACACGGCGGGUGCUAACGUCCGUCGUGAAGAGGGAAACAACCCAGACCGCCAGCUAAGGUCCCAAAGUCAUGGUUAAGUGGGAAACGAUGUGGGAAGGCACAGACAGCCAGGAUGUUGGCUUAGAAGCAGCCAUCAUUUAAAGAAAGCGUAAUAGCUCACUGGUCGAGUCGGCCUGCGCGGAAGAUGUAACGGGGCUAAACCAUGCACCGAAGCUGCGGCAGCGACACUAUGUGUUGUUGGGUAGGGGAGCGUUCUGUAAGCCGUUGAAGGUGUGCUGUGAGGCAUGCUGGAGGUAUCAGAAGUGCGAAUGCUGACAUAAGUAACGAUAAUGCGGGUGAAAAACCC
rnacentral:rRNA from 1 species